UACAGAGGGUGCGAGCGUUAAUCGGAAUUACUGGGCGUAAAGCGUGCGUAGCCGGUUUUGUAAGUCAGACGUGAAAUCCCCAGGCUUAACCUGGGAACUGCGUCUGAUACUGGAUGGCUUGAAUUCGGGAGAGGGAUGCAGAAUUCCAGGUGUAGCGGUGAAAUGCGUAGAUAUCUGGAGGAAUACCGGUGGCGAAGGCGGCAUCCUGGACCGAGAUUGACACUGAUGAGCGAAAGCUAGGGGAGCAAACGGG
rnacentral:rRNA from 1 species